rnacentral:rRNA from 1 species
AUGACAAUGGGUUCCUCCGGAGGCAUCUGCUUCCGCACCCUUGUCUUGCUCCUCGUCGCGUACCUCGGCGGCAUGCGUGCUCGGGAGGCGCCGCUGCCGCUGCCGUCUGCCAGGAGCGCGGGGGUUAACAACAGGCGGGCGCCGGAACGGCACGGUCUGUCGCUGGACUUCUACGGCAAGACGUGCCCCGCGGUCGACCACAUCGUCGCCAACGUCACCGCCGAGCGGUUCCGAGACCACCCGGCCACUGGGCCCGCCGUGCUCCGCCUCUUCCACAACGACUGCUUCGUGGAGGGCUGCGACGCGUCCAUACUGAUCGCGCCGUCAGGCAAGGCGGCAGGGGAGAAGGUGGAGAGGGACAUGGAGGAGAACAGGAACCUGCCGCAGUACGGGUUCGACACGGUGGAGAUGGCCAAGGCCGCCGUGGAGAGCAAGUGCCCCGGCGUCGUCAGCUGCGCCGACAUCCUCGCCCUCGCCGCCCGGGACGCCGUGCAACUGGCAGGAGGACCCUACUACGAGGUGAAGAAGGGGAGAAAAGACAGCAAGGUAUCCCUGGCUGGCAAGGUGCGCGGCAGCCUGCCCCACGCCAACUCCACCGUGGACGAGCUCCUCCGCGUGUUCGCAGGCAAGGGCCUGGGCGCGGGCGACCUGGUGGCGCUGUCCGGCGCGCACACCAUCGGCUUCGCGCACUGCGCCCAUUUCCUGGGCCGCCUCUACGACUUCCGCGGCACCCGGCGGCCGGACCCGUUCAUGGACGCUCGGCUGGUGAAGGCGCUGCGCAUGACGUGCCCCUACACCGGCGGCAGCGCCCGCGCGGUGGUGCCGUUCGACGUGAGCACGCCGUUCCAGUUCGACCACGCCUACUACGCCAACCUGCAGGCCAGGCUGGGCGUCCUGGGCUCCGACCAGGCGCUGUUCCUGGACGCGCGCACCAGGCCGCUCGUGCAGGAGCUCGGCGCGGACAAGGCCCGCUUCUUCCGGGCCUUCGUCGCCAGCAUGGACAGGAUGGGCUCCAUCCGGGUCAAGAAGGGCAAGAAGGGAGAGGUCAGGAAAAUCUGUAGCCAGCACUUGUAG